GGCUGGUGCUGCAGGACACGGUGAUGCGCUCCAUCAUGUUCCCUGCAAUUUCAAACAUGUGCUCGUUCCCUUCAGCAUCUUCCAGCUUUGUCAGCGUCAUUCCCGUUAAAGGCAGCCUUCCCUGAUAGAUGAACCCGCUCAUCCGCGGGCUUGCAGACAGCAUGAGCAGAACAUUUGAAAACAGCAAGAAAUAUCGCUCUUCUUUCUCCUCGCUCCCCCCGCUCUGCACCAUGACCUGGGACAUGUAGAUGAUGUUUCCCAUUGUUUUUAUGUCCUCUCCUUCCCAGCGCUGGAUGGAUUCGGAAAGGAUCUGCAGCUCAAGUUGUUUCCUCUUCCUCAGCUCCUGGCACUGC
rnacentral:lncRNA from 1 species